GGAGUUGACAGAUAAAGACAAGGCUUGGGGGUAUUUCCAAUCACAAGGAGGUGCUUGGAGCUGGAGUUGAACCAGCGACCUUAGGAUCACAGCAUUUCACACAAGGAGCAUCUUACAGUCCACCGCUCUACCAACUGAGCUAUAAAGGUGCUCUAUAGUCAUAACAGCAGAAAACAUAGUGGCUUUGGAGACACACUAUGCCCACAGAACUAUUCCAACCCAUGGUCAAUGAAAAGCCCAGCCCUACCUGUAGAACAAAGCUUUGCAGUUUGUACCCAACAGUCAUUGCCAGGGACCCAGAACUAAUAAUCAGGACUUUUAGGCUGGGUGUAUAAAAAAUUGAUGGUUGAAAAUUUAAGAAAGAGUUAUCUUGUUUGUGUUUUUACAUUUUGGAGGAGUUGACAGAUAAAGACAAGGCUUGGGGGUAUUUCCAAUGACAAGGAGGUGCUUGGAGCUGGAGUUGAACCAGCGACCUUGGGAUCACAGCGUUUCACACAAGGAGCAUCUUACAGUCCACUGCUCUACCAACUGAGCUAUCAAGGUGCUCUGUAGUCACAACAGCAGAAAACAUAGUGGCUUUGGAGACACACUUUGCCCACAGAACUAUUCCAACCCAUGGUCAAUGAAAGGCCCAGCCCUACCUGUAGAACAAAGCUUUGCAGUUUGUACCCAACAGUCAUUGCCAGGGACCCAGAACUAAUAAUCAGGACUUUUAGGCUGGGUGAAUAAAAAAUUGAUGGUUGAAAAUUAAGAAAGAGUUAUCUUGUUUGUGUUUUUACAUUUUGGAGGAGUUGACAGAUAAAGACAAGGCUUGGGGGUAUUUCCAAUCACAAGGAGGUGCUUGGAGCUGGAGUUGAACCAGCGACCUUAGGAUCACAGUGUUUCACACAAGGAGCAUCUUACAGUGCACUGCUCUACCAACUGAGCUAUCAAGGUGGUCUCUAGUCACAACAGCAGAAAACAUAGUGGCUUUGGAGACACACUUUGCCCACAGAACUAUUCCAACCCAUGGUCAAUGAAAAGCCCAGCCCUACCUGUAGAACAAAGCUUUGCAGUUUGUACCCAACAGUCAUUGUCAGGGACCCAGAACUAAUAAUCAGGACUUUUAGGCUGGGUGAUAAAAAAUUGAUGGUUGAAAAUUUAAGAAAGAGUUAUCUUGUUUGUGUUUUUACAUUUUGGAGGAGUUGACAGAUAAAGACAAGGCUUGGGGGUAUUUCCAAUGACAAGGAGGUGCUUGGAGCUGGAGUUGAACCAGCGACCUUAGGAUCAGAGCGUUUCACACAAGGAGCAUCUUACAGUCCACCGCUCUACCAACUGAGCUAUCAAGGUGCUCUCUAGUCAAAACAGCAGAAAACAUAGUGGCUUUGGAGACACACUAUGCCCACAGAACUAUUCCAACCCAUGGUCAAUGAAAAGCCCAGCCCUACCUGUAGAACAAAGCUUUGCAGUUUGUACCCAACAGUCAUUGCCAGGGACCCAGAACUAAUAAUCAGGACUUUUAGGCUGGGUGAAUAAAAAAUUGAUGGUUGAAAAUUUAAGAAAGAGUUAUCUUGUUUGUGUUUUUACAUUUUGGAGGAGUUGACAGAUAAAGACAAGGCUUGGGGGUAUUUCCAAUGACAAGGAGGUGCUUGGAGCUGGAGUUGAACCAGCGACCUUAGGAUCACAGCGUUUCACACAAGGAGCAUCUUACAGUCCACCGCUCUACCAACUGAGCUAUCAAGGUGCUCUAUAGUCACAACAGCACAAAACAUAGUGGCUUUGGAGACACACUAUGCCCACAGAACUAUUCCAACCCAUGGUCAAUGAAAAGCCCAGCCCUACCUGCAGAACAAAGCUUUGCAGUUUGUACCCAACAGUCAUUGUCAGGGACCCAGAACUAAUAAUCAGGACUUUUAGGCUGGGUGAAUAAAAAAUUGAUGGUUGAAAAUUUAAGAAAGAGUUAUCUUGUUUGUGUUUUUACAUUUUGGAGGAGUUGACAGAUAAAGACAAGGCUUGGGGGUAUUUCCAAUGACAAGGAGGUGCUUGGAGCUGGAGUUGAACCAGCGACCUUAGGAUCACAGCGUUUCACACAAGGAGCAUCUUACAGUCCACUGCUCUACCAACUGAGCUAUCAAGGUGCUCUCUAGUCACAACAGCAGAAAACAUAGUGGCUUUGGAGACACACUAUGCCCACAGAACUAUUCCAACCCAUGGUCAAUGAAAAGCCCAGCCCUACCUGUAGAACAAAGCUUUGCAGUUUGUACCCAACAGUCAUUGCCAGGGACCCAGAACUAAUAAUCAGGACUUUUAGGCUGGGUGGAUAAAAAAUUGUUGGUGGAAAAUUUAAGAAAGAGUUAUCUUGUUUGUGUUUUUACAUUUUGGAGGAGUUGACAGAUAAAGACAAGGCUUGGGGGUAUUUCCAAUGACAAGGAGGUGCUUGGAGCUGGAGUUGAACCAGCGACCUUAGGAUCACAGCGUUUCACACAAGGAGCAUCUAACAGUCCACCGCUGUACUGUAAUUGUAAUUUUAAUGUCUUUGUUAAGAAUUGCUUGAAGUGCCCCUCACAACAGACUUUCCAAUCAACAUAUCAGUUAAUCAGCAUGUCUAGACAUCAACAGACAACAUCCUGCAGGAUGCUUCAGGUGUCACCACCACCCCAGGGGGGUGAAGUAACAGUCCCCACAGACAACAAAAGGUGCCAACACCUAAGCCCCAUUCCUUGCCCUCUGGAAGGCGGUCCUAAGGUAUAAAUAUUCUGUAUUCCCCUAGAUUCGGGGUCCUUUCUGAUCUACCCGCUCGGAUCCAGAUCGACCUUUUCUUUGCAAAGAAAAUAAAACCUUGUCGGCCGGCAGAAGUCUCUAUUUCAUUAUUCACCAGCAGCAACGGAAGGAGAAAAACUUCCACGACACUACCAACUGAGCUAUUAAGGUGCUCUAUAGUCACAACAGCAGAAAACAUAGUGGCUUUGGAGACACACUUUGCCCACAGAACUAUUCCAACCCAUGGUCAAUGAAAAGCCCAGCCCUACCUGUAGAACAAAGCUUUGCAGUUUGUACCCAACAGUCAUUGCCAGGGACCCAGAACAAAUAAUCAGGACUUUUAGGCUGGGUGGAUAAAAAAUUGUUGGUUGAAAAUUUAAGAAAGAGUUAUCUUGUUUGUGAUUUUACAUUUUGGAGGAGUUGACAGAUAAAGACAAGGCUUGGGGGUAUUUCCAAUGACAAGGAGGUGCUUGGAGCUGGAGUUGAACCAGCGACCUUAGGAUCACAGCGUUUCACACAAGGAGCAUCUAACAGUCCACCGCUCUACCAACUGAGCUAUCAAGGUGCUCUCUAGUCACAACAGCAGAAAACAUAGUGGCUUUGGAGACACACUAUGCCCACAGAACUAUUCCAACCCAUGGUCAAUGAAAAGCCCAGCCCUACCUGUAGAACAAAGCUUUGCAGUUUGUAACCAACAGUCAUUGCCAGGGACCCAGAACAAAUAAUCAGGACUUUUAGGCUGGGUGGAUAAAAAAUUGAUGGUUGAAAAUUUAAGAAAGAGUUAUCUUGUUUGUGUUUUUACAUUUUGGAGGAGUUGACAGAUAAAGACAAGGCUUGGGGGUAUUUCCAAUGACAAGGAGGUGCUUGGAGCUGGAGUUGAACCAGCGACCUUAGGAUCCCAGCAUUUCACACAAGGAGCAUCUUACAGUCCACCGCUCUACCAACUGAGCUAUCAAGGUGCUCUAUAGUCACAACAGCAGAAAACAUAGUGGCUUUGGAGACACACUAUGCCCACAGAACUAUUCCAACCCAUGGUCAAUGAAAAGCCCAGCCCUACCUGUAGAACAAAGCUUUGCAGAUUGUACCCACCAGUCAUUGCCAGGGACCCAGAACUAAUAAUCAGGACUUUUAGGCUGGGUGAAUAAAAAAUUGAUGGUUGAAAAUUUAAGAAAGAGUUAUCUUGUUUGUGUUUUUACAUUUUGGAGGAGUUGACAGAUAAAGACAAGGCUUGGGGGUAUUUCCAAUGACAAGGAGGUGCUUGGAGCUGGAGUUGAACCAGCGACCUUAGGAUCACAGCGUUUCACACAAGGAGCAUCUUACAGUCCACCGCUCUACCAACUGAGCUAUCAAGGUGAUCUAUAGUCACAACAGCAGAAAACAUAGUGGCUUUGGAGACACACUAUGCCCACAGAACUAUUCCAACCCAUGGUCAAUGAAAAGCCCAGCCCUACCUGUAGAACAAAGCUUUGCAGUUUGUACCCAACAGUCAUUGCCAGGGACCCAGAACUAAUAAUCAGGACUUUUAGGCUGGGUGAAUAAAAAAUUGAUGGUUGAAAAUUUAAGAAAGAGUUAUCUUGUUUGUGAUUUUACAUUUUGGAGGAGUUGACAGAUAAAGACAAGGCUUGGGGGUAUUUCCAAUGACAAGGAGGUGCUUGGAGCUGGAGUUGAACCAGCGACCUUAGGAUCACAGCGUUUCACACAAGGAGCAUCUUACAGUCCACCGCUCUACCAACUGAGCUAUCAAGGUGCUCUCUAGUCACAACAGCAGAAAACAUAGUGGCUUUGGAGACACACUAUGCCCACAGAACUAUUCCAACCCAUGGUCAAUGAAAAGCCCAGCCCUACCUGUAGAACAAAGCUUUGCAGUUUGUACCCAACAGUCAUUGCCAGGGACCCAGAACUAAUAAUCAGGACUUUUAGGCUGGGUGAAUAAAAAAUUGAUGGUUGAAAAUUUAAGAAAGAGUUAUCUUGUUUGUGUUUUUACAUUUUGGAGGAGUUGACAGAUAAAGACAAGGCUUGGGGGUAUUUCCAAUGACAAGGAGCUGGAGUUGAACCAGCGACCUUAGGAUCACAGCUUUUCACACAAGGAGCAUCUUACAGUCCACCGCUGUACCAACUGAGCUAUCAAGGUGCUCUAUAGUCACAACAGCAGAAAACAUAGUGGCUUUGGAGACACACUAUGCCCACAGAACUAUUCCAACCCAUGGUCAAUGAAAAGCCCAGCCCUACCUGUAGAACAAAGCUUUGCAGUUUGUACCCAACAGUCAUUGCCAGGGACCCAGAACUAAUAAUCAGGACUUUUAGGCUGGGUGAAUAAAAAAUUGAUGGUUGAAAAUUUAAGAAAGAGUUAUCUUGUUUGUGUUUUUACAUUUUGGAGGAGUUGACAGAUAAAGACAAGGCUUGGGGGUAUUUCCAAUCACAAGGAGGGGCUUGGAGCUGGAGUUGAACCAGCGACCUUAGGAUCACAGCGUUUCACACAAGGAGCAUCUUACAGUCCACCGCUCUACCAACUGAGCUAUCAAGGUGCUCUCUAGUCACAACAGCAGAAAAUAUAGUGGCUUCGGAGACACACUAUGCCCACAGAACUAUUCCAACCCAUGGUCAAUGAAAAGCCCAGCCCUACCUGUAGAACAAAGCUUUGCAGUUUGUACCCAACAGUCAUUGCCAGGGACCAAGAACUAAUAAUCAGGACUUUUAGGCUGGGUGUAUAAAAAAAUGAUGGUGGAAAAUUUAAGAAAGAGUUAUCUUGUUUGUGUUUUUACAUUUUCGAGGAGUUGACAGAUGAAGACAAGGCUUGGGGGUAUUUCCAAUGACAAGGAGGUGCUUGGAGCUGGAGUUGAACCAGCUACCUUAUGAUCCCAGCGUUUCACACAAGGAGCAUGUUACAGUCCACCGCUCUACCAAGUGAGCUAUGGAGGUGGACUCUAGUCACAACUGCAGAAAACAUAGUGGCUUUGGAGACACACUAUGCCCACAGAACUAUUCCAACCCAUGGUCAAUGAAUAGCCCAGCCCUACCUGUAGAACAAAGCUUUGCAGUUUGUACCCAACAGUCAUUGCCAGGGACCCACAACUAAUAAUCAGGACUUUUAGGCUGGGUGAAUAAAAAAUUGAUGGUUGAAAAUGUAAGAAAGAGUUAUCUUGUUUGUGUUUUUACAUUUUGAAGAGUUGACAGAUAAAGACAAGGCUUGGGGGUAUUUCCAAUGACAAGGAGGUGCUUGGAGCUGGAGUUGAACCAGCGACCUUUGGAUCCCAGCAUUUCACACAAGGAGCAUCUUACAGUGCAUCGCUCUACCAACUGAGCUAUCAAGGUGCUCUCUAGUAGCAACAGCAGAAAACAUAGUGGCUUUGGAGACACACUAUGCCCACAGAACGAUUCCAACCCAUGGUCAAUGAAAAGCCCAGCCCGACCUGCAGAACAAAGCCUUACAGUUUGUACCCAACAGUCAUUGUCAGGGACCCAGAACUAAUAAUCAGGACUUUUAGGCUGGGUGAAUAAAAAAUUGAUGGUUGAAAAUUUAAGAAAGAGUUAUCUUGUUUGUUUUUUUACAUUUUGGAGGAGUUGACACUUAAGACAAGGCUUGGGGGUAUUUCCAAUGACAAGGAGGUGCUUGGAGCUGGAGUUGAACCAGGGACCUUAGGAUCACAGCGUUUCACACAAGGAGCAUCUUACAGUCCACCGGUCUACCAACUGAGCUAUCAAGGUGGUCUCUAGUCACAACUGCAGAAAACAUAGUGGCUUUGGAGACACACUAUGCCCACAGAACUAUUCCAACCCAUGGUCAAUGAAAAGCCCAGCCCUACCUGUAGAACAAAGCUUUGCAGUUUGUACCCAACAGUCAUUGCCAGGGACCCAGAACUAAUAAUCAGGACUUUUAGGCUGGGUGAAUAAAAAAUUGAUGGUUGAAAAUGUAAGAAAGAGUUAUCUUGUUUGUGUUUUUACAUUUUGGAGGAGUUGACAGAUAAAGACAAGGCUUGGGGGUAUUUCCAAUCACAAGGAGGGGCUUGGAGCUGGAGUUGAACCAGCGACCUUAGGAUCACAGCGUUUCACACAAGGAGCAUCUUACAGUCCACCGGUCUACCAACUGAGCUAUCAAGGUGCUCUCUAGUCACAACAGCAGAAAAUAUAGUGGCUUCGGAGACACACUAUGCCCACAGAACUAUUCCAACCCAUGGUCAAUGAAAAGCCCAGCCCUACCUGUAGAACAAAGCUUUGCAGUUUGUACCCAACAGUCAUUGCCAGGGACCAAGAACUAAUAAUCAGGACUUUUAGGCUGGGUGUAUAAAAAAAUGAUGGUUGAAAAUGUAAGAAAGAGUUAUCUGGUUUGUGUUUUUACAUUUUGGAGGAGUUGACAGAUAAAGCCAAGGCUUGGGGGUAUUUCCAAUGACAAGGAGGUGCUUGGAGCUGGAGUUGAACCAGCGACCUUAGGAUCCCAGCAUUUCACACAAGGAGCAUCUUACAGUGGAUCGAUCUACCAACUGAGCUAUGAAGGUGCUUACUAGCCAUAACAGCAGAAAACAUAGUGGCUUUGGAGACACACUAUGCCCACAGAACUAUUCCAACCCAUGGUCAAUGAAAAGCCCAGCCCUACCUGUAGAACAAAGCUUUGCAGUUUGUACCCAACAGUCAUUGCCAGGGACCCAGAACUAAUAAUCAGGACUUUUAGGCUGGGUGAAUAAAAAAUUGUUGGUGGAAAAUUUAAGAAAGAGUUAUCUUGUUUGUGUUUUUACAUUUUGGAGGAGUUGACAGAUAAAGACAAGGCUUGGGGGUAUUUCCAAUCACAAGGAGGGGCUUGGAGGUGGAGUUGAACCAGCGACCUUAGGAUCACAGCGUUUCACACAAGGAGCAUCUUACAGUCCACCGCUCUACCAACUGAGCUAUCAAGGUGCUCUAUAGUCAAAACAGCAGAAAACAUAGUGGCUUUGGAGACACACUAUGCCCACAGAACUAUUCCAACCCAUGGUCAAUGAAAAGCCCAGCCCUACCUGUAGAACAAAGCUUUGCAGUUUGUACCCAACAGUCAUUGCCAGGGACCCAGAACUAAUAAUCAGGACUUUUAGGCUGGGUGAAUAAAAAAUUGAUGGUGGAAAAUUUAAGAAAGAGUUAUCUUGUUUGUGGUUUUACAUUUUGGAGUAGUUGACAGAUAAAGACAAGGCUUGGGAGUAUUUCCAAUGACAAGGAGGUGCUUGGGGCUGGAGUUGAACCAGCAACCUUAUGAUCACAGCGUUUCACACAAGGAGCAUCUUACUGUCCACCGCUCUACCAACUGAGCUAUCAAGUUGCCCUAUAGUCACAACAGCAGAAAACAUAGUGGCUUUGGAGACACACUAUGCCCACAGACCUAUUCCAACCCAUGGUCAAUGAAAAGCCCAGCCCGACCUGCAGAACAAAGCCUUACAGUUUGUACCCAACAGUCAUUGUCAGGGACCCAGAACUAAUAAUCAGGACUUUUAGGCUGGGUGAAUAAAAAAUUGAUGGUUGAAAAUUUAAGAAAGAGUUAUCUUGUUUGUGGUUUUACAUUUUGGAGGAGUUGACACAUAAAGACAAGGCUUGGGGGUAUUUCCAAUGACAAGGAGGUGCUUGGAGCUGGAGUUGAACCAGCGACCUUAGGAUCACAGCAUUACACACAAGGAGCAUCUUACAGUCCACUGCUCUACCAACUGAGCUAUCAAGUUGCUCUAUAGUCACAACAGCAGAAAACAUAGUGGCUUUGGAGACACACCAUGCCCACAGAACUAUUCCAACCCAUGGUCAAUGAAAAGCCCAGCCCUACCUGUAGAACAAAGCUUCGCAGUUUGUACCCAACAGUCAUUGCCAGGGACCCAGAACUAAUAAUCAGGACUUUUAGGCUGGGUGAAUAAAAAAUUGAUGGUUGAAAAUUUAAGAAAGAGUUAUCUUGUUUGUGUUUUUACAUUUUGGAGGAGUUGACAGAUAAAGACAAGGCUUGGGGGUAUUUCCAAUCACAAGGAGGGGCUUGGAGCUGGAGUUGAACCAGGGACCUUAGGAUCACAGCGUUUCACACAAGGAGCAUCUUACAGUCCACCGGUCUACCAACUGAGCUAUCAAGGUGCUCUCUAGUCACAACAGCAGAAAACAUAGUGGCUUCGGAGACACACUAUGCCCACAGAACUAUUCCAACCCAUGGUCAAUGAAAAGCCCAGCCCUACCUGUAGAACAAAGCUUUGCAGUUUGUACCCAACAGUCAUUGCCAGGGACCCAGAACUAAUAAUCAGGACUUUAAGGCUGGGUGAAUAAAAAAUUGUUGGUGGAAAAUUUAAGAAAGAGUUAUCUUGUUUGUGUUUUUACAUUUUCGAGGAGUUGACAGAUGAAGACAAGGCUUUGGGGUAUUUCCAAUGACAAGGAGGUGCUUGGGGCUGGAGUUGAACCAGCUACCUUAUGAUCACAGCGUUUCACACAAGGAGCAUCUUACAGUCCACCGCUCUACCAACUGAGCUAUCAAGGUGGACUCUAGUCACAACUGCAGAAAACAUAGUGGCUUUGGAGACACACUAUGCCCACAGAACUAUUCCAAUCCAUGGUCAAUGAAAAGCCCAGCCCUACCUGUAGAACAAAGCUUUGCAGUUUGUACCCAACAGUCAUUGCCAGGGACCCAGAACUAAUAAUCAGGACUUUUAGACUGCGUGAUUAAAAUAUUGAUGGUUGAAAAUGUAAGAAAGAGUUAUCUUGUUUGUGUUUUUGCAUUAUGGAGGAGUUGACAGAUAAAGCCAAGGCUUGGGGGUAUUUCCAAUGACAAGGAGGUGCUUGGAGCUGGAGUUGAACCAGCGACCUUUUCAUCCCAGCAUUUCACACAAGGAGCAUCUUACAGUGCAUCGCUCUACCAACUGAGCUAUCAAGGUGCUCACUAGUCAAAAAAUCAGAAAACAUAGUGGCUUUGGAGACACACUAUGCCCACAGAACUAUUCCAACCCAUGGUCAAUGAAUAGCCCAGCCCUAACUGCAGAACAAAGCCUUAAAGUUUGUACCCAACAAUCAUUGUCAGGGACCUAGAACUAAUGAUCAGGACUUUUAGGCUGGGUGAAUAAAAAAUUGAUGGUUGAAAAUUUAAGAAAGAGUUAUCUUAUUUGUGUUUUUACAUUUUGGAGGAGUUGACAGAUAAAGACAAGGCUUGGGGGUAUUUCCAAUGACAAGGAGGUGCUUGGAGCUGGAGUUGAACCAGCGACCUUAGGAUCACAGCAUUUCACACAAGGAGCAUCUUACAGUGGAUCGAUCUACCAACUGAGCUAUCAAGGUGCUCACUAGUCACAACGGCAGAAAACGUAGUGGCUUUGGAGACACACUAUGCCCACAGAACUAUUCCAACCCAUGGUCAAUGAAUAGCCCAGCCCUCCCUGUAGAACAAAGCCUUAAAGUUUGUACCCAACAGUCAUUGCCAGGGACCCAGAACUAAUAAUCAGGACUUUUAGGCUGGGUGAAUAAAAGAUUGUUGGUGGAAAAUUUAAGAAAGAGUUAUCUAGUUUGUGUUUUUACAUUUUGGAGGAGUUGACACAUAAAGACAAGGCUUGGGGGUAUUUCCAAUGACAAGGAGGUGCUUGGGGCUGGAGUUGAACCAGCGACCUUAUGAUCACAGCGUUUCACACAAGGAGCAUCUUACAGUCCACCGCUCUACCAACUGAGCUAUCAAGGUGCUCUCUAGUCACAACAGCAGAAAACAUAGUGGCUUUGGAGACACACUAUGCCCACAGAACUAUUCCAACCCAUGGUCAAUGAAAAGCCCAGCCCUACCUGUAGAACAAAGCUUUGCAGUUUGUACCCAACAGUCAUUGCCAGGGACCCAGAACUAAUAAUCAGGACUUUUAGGCUGGGUGAAUAAAAAAUUGAUGGUGGAAAAUUUAAGAAAGAGUUAUCUUGUUUGUGUUUUUACAUUUUGGAGGAGUUGACAGAUAAAGACAAGGCUUGGGGGUAUUUCCAAUGACAAGGAGGUGCUUGGAGCUGGAGUUGAACCAGCGACCUUAGGAUCACAGCGUUUCACACAAGGAGCAGCUUACAGUCAACCGCUCUACCAACUGAGCUAUCAUGGUGCUCUCUAGUCACAACAGCAGAAAACAUAGUGGCUUUGGAGACACACUUUGCCCACAGAACUAUUCCAACCCAUGGUCAAUGAAAAGCCCAGCCCGACCUGCAGAACAAAGCCUUACAGUUUGUACCCAACAGUCAUUGUCAGGGACCCACAACUAAUAAUCAGGACUUUUAGGCUGGGUGAAUAAAAAAUUGAUGGUUGAAAAUUUAAGAAAGAGUUAUCUUGUUUGUGUUUUUACAUUUUGGAGGAGUUGACACAUAAAGACAAGGCUUGGGGGUAUUUCCAAUGACAAGGAGGUGCUUGGGGCUGGAGUUGAACCAGCGACCUUAUGAUCACAGCGUUUCACACAAGGAGCAUCUUACAGUCCACCGCUCUACCAACUGAGCUAUCAAGGUGCUCUAUAGUGACAACAGCAGAAAACAUAGUGGCUUUGGAGACACACUAUGCCCACAGAACUAUUCCAACCCAUGGUCAAUGAAUAGCCCAGCCCUACCUGCAGAACAAAGCCUUAAAGUUUGUACCCAACAGUCAUUGUCAGGGACCUAGAACUAAUAAUCAGGACUUUUAGGCUUGGUGAAUAAAAAAUUGAUGGUUGAAAAUUUAAGAAAGAGUUAUCUUGUUUGUGUUUUUACAUUUUGGAGGAGUUGACAGAUAAAGACAAGGCUUGGGGGUAUUUCCAAUGACAAGGAGGUGCUUGGGGCUGGAGUUGAACUAGCUACCUUAUGAUCACAGCGUUUCACACAAGGAGCAUCUUACAGUCCACUGCUCUACCAACUGAGCUAUCAAGGUGCUCUAUAGUCACAACAGCAGAAAACAUAGUGGCUUUGGAGACACACUAUGCCCACAGAACUAUUCCAACCCAUGGUCAAUGAAAAGCCCAGCCCUACCUGUAGAACCAAGCUUUGCAGUUUGUACCCAACAGUCAUUGCCAGGGACCCAGAACUAAUAAUCAGGACUUUUAGGCUGGGUGAAUAAAAAAUUGAUGGUUGAAAAUUUAAGAAAGAGUUAUCUUGUUUGUGUCUUUACAUUUUGGAGGAGUUGACAGAUAAAGACAAGGCUUGGGGGUAUUUCCAAUGACAAGGAGGUGCUUGGGGCUGGAGUUGAACCAGCGACCUUAUGAUCACAGCGUUUCACACAAGGAGCAUCUUACAGUCGACUGCUCUACCAACUGAGCUAUCAAGGUGCGCUCUAGUCACAACAGCAGAAAACAUAGUGGCUUUGGAGACACACUAUGCCCACAGAACUAUUCCAACCCAUGGUCAAUGAAAAGCCCAGCCCUACCUGUAGAACAAAGCUUUGCAGUUUGUACCCAACAGUCAUUGCCAGGGACCCAGAACUAAUAAUCAGGACUUUUAGGCUGGGUGAAUAAAAAAUUGUUGGUGGAAAAUUUAAGAAAGAGAUAUCUUGUUUGUGUUUUUAGAUUUUGGAGGAGUUGACAGAUGAAGACAGGGCUUGGGGGUAUUUCCAAUGACAAGGAGGUGCUUGGAGCUGGAGUUGAACCAGCUACCUUAUGAUCACAGCGUUUCACACAAGGAGCAUCUUACAGUCCACUGCUCUACCAACUGAGCUAUCAAGGUGCUUUAUAGUCACAACAGCAGAAAACAUAGUGGCUUUGGAGACACACUAUACCCACAGAACUAUUCCAACCCAUGGUCAAUGAAAAGCCCAGCCCUACCUGUAGAACAAAGCUUUGCAGUUUGUACCCAACAGUCAUUGCCAGGGACCCAGAACUAAUAAUCAGGACUUUUAGGCUGGGUGAAUAAAAAAUUGAUGGUUGAAAAUUUAAGAAAGAGUUAUGUUGUUUGUGUUUUUACAUUUUGGAGGAGUUGACAGAUAAAGACAAGGCUUGGGGGUAUUUCCAAUGACAAGGAGGGGCUUGGGGCUGGAGUUGAACCAGCGACCUUAGGAUCACAGCGUUUCACACAAGGAGCAUCUUACAGUCGACUGCUCUACCAACUGAGCUAUCAAGGUGCGCUCUAGUCACAACAGCAGAAAACAUAGUGGCUUUGGAGACACACUAUGCCCACAGAACUAUUCCAACCCAUGGUCAAUGAAAAGCCCAGCCCUACCUGUAGAACAAAGCUUUGCAGUUUGUACCCAACAGUCAUUGCCAGGGACCCAGAACUAAUAAUCAGGACUUUUAGGCUGGGUGAAUAAAAAAUUGUUGGUGGAAAAUUUAAGAAAGAGAUAUCUUGUUUGUGUUUUUAGAUUUUGGAGGAGUUGACAGAUGAAGACAGGGCUUGGGGGUAUUUCCAAUGACAAGGAGGUGCUUGGAGCUGGAGUUGAACCAGCGACCUUAGCAUCACGGCAUUGCAUUUGAGGAACUUCCUAUAGUCCUCUGCUCUACCAACUGAGCAAUCAAUGUGCUCUCUACUCACAACUGCAGAAAACAUAGUGGCUGAGACGACACACUAUGCCCACACAACUAUUCGACCCACAUGAUCAAUGAAAAGCCCAGCCCAACCUGCAGAACAAAGCUUUGCUGUUUGAACCCAACAGUCAUUGCCAGGGACCAAGAACUGGAGACUUUUAGGCUGGGUGAAUAAAAAAUUGAUGGUUGGAAAAUUAAGCAGAAGUUAUCUUGUUUGUGUUUUUAUAUUUUGGAGGAGUUGAAAGAUGAAGACCAGGCUUGGAGCUCGAGUUGAAGCAGCGACCUUCGCAUCACAGCAUUUCAUAUGGGGAACUUCCUACAGUCCUCUGCUCUUCCAACUUAGCUAUCAAGGUGCUCUCUACUUGCACCUGCAGAAAACAUACUGGCUGAGACGACACACUUUGCCCACACAACUAUUCGACCCACAUGGUCAAUGAAAAGCCCAGCCCUACCUGCAUAACAAAGCUUUGCAGUUUGUACCCAACAGUCAUUGCCAGGGACCCAGAACUGAUAAUCAGGACCUUUAGGCUGGGUGAAUAAAAAAGUCACGAAGUGAAAGGAGAAGCUGUGUAGCCAUGUGUUUGUCAAUGUCAUGUUUCUGUAACCUCAUCUGCAACUGCAGGCUUAUGGCUCGGAACCACUGCAGUAUUGUAUCCCAAAAGUGUGCCAUGAAAGCUAUCUCUAGGGUUUCCAGCUUGCCACAGAGUGCAGAGGAAGCGAAAUCUGCAAAGUGAAGCAGGGCAAAACUCAGUGUUCUAAAGGUGAAUAUCUACCAGUCUACUACUCUCCUUGAAGUAACUUUUCGUUAUAAUGACACGUGAAUCUGCUGUGUAUUGUGACUGGACCACUGUACAGCCCGCUCCUAAGUCUAGCUCGGCUAUUGGACACUCGCUUCAGGAUAUGGUCCCAACGCAUGAUAAAUUUGCAUAGAGUUGGAGAAUUUGGAACUUUUGGACGAGUCGCAAUGACAGUUUCGAUUCACUCCAAGGACCAUGUCAUAUUGUGUACACACAAUACUGUGCGGGAACGAAAUCUCUUCUCAUAGAAAAUAGGUCCAGCUUCUACUCGCCGUCUACUGGGGCCAGCGUUAGGCCCAGGAUAUGCUUGCCGUGUGCACAUUUCAUGCCUGAAUGCGUCGCCAUGCAUAUUUUAUGUCCAUGUUACGCGUAAUAGCACACCUGAACACAAGGUAUGCAGACAUGUGCGCAUGUUGCGAUAUUGACACAACGCGAGGGGCGAUCUUCCGAUCUUCCAUGUUUAGCUCGUCGUAGAGUCAAUCAAUGGUGGAAAAUAUUAAUGAGAGCCUGGUUGGCUAUCUGCCCCCUAUAUGAUACCGCCAGUAUCCAAUGUUGCCAGUUUUAGCGACUUUGUCGCUAGAUUUAGCGACUUUUGGCCAUCUCUGGCAACUAAAACCUCAUCUAGCGCAAUAAGUUCCAUGGAUAAGGCAACAUACCUGGUAAAGACUGUUUACAAAUUACAAAAAGAGGAAGAGAAAGAAAGAUCACAUGCAAGUGGAAUGCAAGGACACAAGUGAAUACAGUCAGAGCUGAAAAGGACGGAUCCAAAAGUUCAGUUUGACAGCUCACAUGGAAAUGGUUAAGACUUUACUGCAGCUGCAGGCAUCUAGACUUUGACAUUAUUUCAGAUUUAUUUCACAUGCAGAAAUUAAGGAGUAAUGACAUAAUUUCUGUAAGACUAUAGUUGGAGUCUGCUGGCAGAUGCUGGGGAAAUGGCAAGGCUGUAAGUCUAAACUCAGCUCAGGUGCACAGCUGUAGUGGCAAAACAGAGGAAGUGACCUAAAAUGUUGCAGCUUAAACAGACCACUGUGUUAAAACUGUGAGGUGAUUGUGAGAUAGAUGUAUGUCAAAUGUAAAAUACAGUGCAGCUCAUGUUGCCUUCCUGAAGGCAUCAUUCCAGGCUCACCUUCUGUCCUAUCAGCAAAGGGUUAUGUUAAAAUGUGCAGGUCUGGGGUACCAUCCUAAGGUCCCAAGUUUUAGAAACCCUCUUUACUGAUGAAUGUUACAGAGGCCACUGGGACAAUUGCAGGGGCAGAAGUCUGUCAGGUAAGACACACAAACUGUAUGAGUUUGGUGUAGCAGGCAUGUGAGCUGCAUCCAUAAUCUUAUUGCUCAGUGUGCUGCCUCAAUGUGGCUGUACUGUUUACAAUAUAUGCUUAACACUCUGUUAUACCAUAUCCACACAGAUGAUUUUCAAGCUGUUGUAACUGUACGCCCACUGUUUCCCCUUCUUAGAAGGAAAACAGAAGCCUGAUGCACCAGCUUUGAGUAAGCUCUAUCUAAAGAUAGGGUGCGUACUUAAACAUAUGCUGUAACUUAAGUGGUGUCUUUGUGUAGUAGCACCACGAAGAUGUAAUGUUCAUCUUAACUAGUAGAGUGUAACAUCAAAACUAAUCCAAGUAUUGUCAGAGCUAUGACUUUGACACUUUUAGAAAUCAAUCACAGAGUGUUUCUCCCUCUGAGCGAUAUUUUAGGUGUUAACUCCAAAAGCCUAACUGUCUUUAAACAACUGAAAAUAACAGUCAUUUACUCCUGUUACUCAACAAAGGUACGUGCAAAAUGACAGAGUAUUAUGAUGAGGUAAUAGUGACAUCAAGUGGUGAAUUUGCCAUCUAUGAAGUAUUUUUGUAUACAGUUUGGCGGUACGCUAUGCAGGUCGAACAUGGAAAUCGGCAGCGGGUAUAUAGAACAUCUUGUCUACAUAAAACAGGUGGUAAAACUCUUACUGGCAUCUUCUUCCAGGUUAUCCCAUCUCCAAACAUUGUGUCAUAAAAAGAUUUAUUUAUGGUGGAUUUGGACCUACUCAGAGCAAGGUGUAAUAUUGGAGUUGUAACUAAAACUUAUGAUGAAGCUUUCUAUGCUGGUGCAACACCUAAAAUGUUGAUAAAGUCAAAACUUCAUCCUAAAUCAGAAUUAGCAUCCAAACUAGGAAACAUCUGAACUUAUAUCAGGACCAUAACUCAACUCCACUUCUUGAUUUCCCAUAAAUUCAUUCAUAACCCCCUCCACCUCUUGCAUUGUGCACCUCCUCAUCUCAUUUUACUUUUUCCAGUUUCAUGUUUUUUGUCCUACUAUCCAUAGAGCCUAGUAGAAAGUACCCCUUAAUAACAAGAACAUGUACCAAUAGUUCAGUUACAGCAUAUGGCUGUUGCUGUGGUCCUUGCUUGUAUGUUCAAGUAUUAUAAUGGACUCGAGAUGAAUAAGAGCAGAUCUGUAAUAUCUGCCACUCUUGUUUUACAUACUUUACAAGGUACAUUUCUUUAACCGCAUCAUCUGUCUUUCAUGAGCCUGAAUAAAAGCUGUACCAUGCAUGCAUUUAACCUGAUAUGAUCUUAAUAAAUGGCUGACCACAUGAAAUCUGGCUGUAAACUCUGUAAACUUCUCUAUAAUAAUCCCAUUUUUCCUCACAUAAUAUUACAUUUAAUCCUUUGGGGAAGAAUGGAGCUGAGAGUCUUGGUGAGUCUAAUUAGUUUAAGAUUGCCAGCAGCAGGCUUACAGUGGAGAGCCCAACAUCACAUUGCUUUUCUCCUCUGGUUCCAAAGAAUAAGUGCAUCCUAUAGAUUUUUUUUCCUAUACUGUGCCCCAGUUUUGCAAGAACAAGAGUAUUGAGGAGAAGUGUCUCUUUGAGGUCCAUGGUUGGCAGGAAUUUUUGAGUUUACACAGAUAAAUGUUGCUGUAAAAAAAUGAAAAAAUACCUUGACAGUAUUUAUCUGUAUAUUUUGGAGAGGAUAUUUUUUACCCUUUACAAUAACAGGUGUUACAGUGUUGGCCAAGCUUACCAAAAAUACUUCUAUUUAUGUUAAUGAAGACCUGUUUGAUAUCAUCUUGUCAUUGGCUGUACCAUACAGUGGCUGACAAUAGCAUGUGAUCUGCAACAGCCAAAAUAUCAUUAAAGAAAAAAAAAAAACGUGCUGUUAAUGCAGAAAUGAUGCAACUCCAAAUCAUAUGCAGGAGUCCAAAGCAAAUACAACAGCUGACACAAACUGUAAAUGAAAAACAAGCUGCCAAAAGCCAAAAUAGCUGCAUCAAGAGAAAACACAGUGCAAAUACCCAACUGAUGCUCAGUCCAAAACACACAGAAGCAGAAAUCAGCUGAAAAGAUAAACAGUGAAAAUCCAGACUCUUCAAUGGAAGUGCUCUGAGGUCUGUGAAGGAGGCUCAGUGAAACAGUUUCAUUAUAAAGGGGAUGAAAAGAGGUACAGACACUGAACUUGUUAAGUCUGAGAAGUAGCAUAGCAUGAUAUCAGGAAGUAAUGUAUAAUUUACAAUAGUAGAGUCUUACAUAGACUCUGGCAACAAUAAUGGGAACAAGGCGGGGACAUCAAGCACUGUAUUUUCUUCAUCUCAGGAGACCUGAACGGGGUUCUGUGAGACUCCUCUGAGACGACCUAACAAUAACUGCUAAUUGAUAACAGACAGGACAUACCUUUCUGUCCAUGACAUAUAUUUCCCAAUAAAGUUGUCCAAAUUCUACGAUUCUGCAUUUGCAACAUGAUGAUCCUAAUGAUGAUUGCUCAGACUGUUGUAGAUCAUCUGCUCUUGUUGACCACCACAGGAUGAUAUAAAGACACAGUCGGUGUCAUCACCCACAGGUUUCUAAAGAGGCGGAACAAUGCCUAAGAUAGGGUCAUCAAUUUAAAAAAAUAAAUAAAUCCACUGGCAUUUUGAAAGAAUGAUCACUACUUUGAAUUUCUAUCCUUUUUAUGCAGACCAAAACCAGAGUUUGUACCAGGCCGUGAAUCCAUAAAAUUCAGGUUGAUAAUUACAAUAUAGGCUGUAAUGAAAUCUCGCAGGUUUUUAUGCUUGACAAAAAGUUGCUGCUUGCAUCAAAUUUGGUUUAGAAAAUUCAAUAAACCAAUCCCAUUUAGGCUAAAAUAUAGAGCACAUUGCUGAGUCAGGAGCUGUGUUUACAUGGGCACAAAUAAUCGGAAUAAAUCGCCGAUCAGAAAAAAAAGCGUCAUGUAAACAUGUCGAUCGGAAGAUUCUGAUCCAAUUUGGCUCACUCAGAAAGAAAUUGUAUUCCGAUUGAGUGGGGUGGUUUAUGCCGAUCGUUAUUCCAAAACGCGUCCAUGUAAACACUUAUUUCGAUUGCAACUCUCUUACCUGACUCUGUCUUCACUCUUUAGCCUUUGGUUUAUUUAUUGAGGCCAGUACAGGAGGUUUCAUUAUUAACACUCUGGCAUGAAACACAACCGCAGGUGCCAUGUCUGCUCCUCCAGUAACGUAAUGCAUACAGCAUAAUGAUGUCACAUCUGCACGCACAGUGCAACCUUUGAUAGAACAGUAAAAUAAGCACGCAAGAGUGUCAUCUAGUGACAACAUUUAACAGGGGAAAAUACCUGAAUUGGAUGGAGUGAGCCACUACCGCGUUUGUUGGUUUGUUGACAGCACAGGCGUCAAUACAACUCUUCUUUUGCAGUUGUUUUAGCAAAAUCAGACAACUCUGCGCAUGUUCAAAUGCUUCUAAUCUGAAUAAAGCUUAGUACACACGUCAUGAUCAGAUUAUUUGAUUUUGCACCCAUAUAAACAGUGGAUAUUAGAUUAUCCGAUCCGAAAUAUUUAAUUGGAUCAAGAAAUUUUGCACAUGUAAACAUGGCUCAUGUUGCUGUAUUGACUGUACAGGUGUACCUCAUAAAUCAUGUCAAAGACCUGCUCCACUCCAUUCCAGCCUCUUGUUCUGGGCAGAAAUAGUAUCCCUUCCCCUUAUGUCAAAACAUCAGUGUAACACUGAAUGAUGAUCACACAACAUCCCUCAGCUUCCUUCAGCUGCUCAUAAGUUAAGCAAUUAACAAUGCAUUACACGUGUUAGGGUUUUAUUUAUGACUAACAAGCAGUUAACAAAUCAUGAUUUCCUCCAUGACUGAGUGUAAUGAUCAGGUCUCCAUGGAAAUUCAGCUGAGUUACAGCAACAUGACAGCUGCAUUUCAUAACCACCCGGCCACGUAAAGCACAAUAACACUGAUUUAGGUCCCC
rnacentral:lncRNA from 1 species